rnacentral:rRNA from 1 species
AUUGAACGCUGGCGGCAUGCCUUACACAUGCAAGUCGAACGGUAACAGAUCUUCGGAUGCUGACGAGUGGCGAACGGGUGAGUAAUACAUCGGAACGUGCCCGAGAGUGGGGGAUAACGAGGCGAAAGCUUUGCUAAUACCGCAUACGAUCUCAGGAUGAAAGCAGGGGACCGCAAGGCCUUGCGCUCACGGAGCGGCCGAUGGCAGAUUAGGUAGUUGGUGGGAUAAAAGCUUACCAAGCCGACGAUCUGUAGCUGGUCUGAGAGGACGACCAGCCACACUAGGAGUGAGACACGGCCCAGACUCCUACGGGAGGCAGCAGGUGGGAAUUUUGGACAAUGGGCGCGAGCCUGAUCCAGCCAUGCCGCGUGCAGGAUGAAGGCCUUCGGGUUGUAAACUGCUUUUGUACGGAACGAAAAGACUCUGGUUAAUACCUGGGGUCCAUGACGGUACCGUAAGAAUAAGCACCGGCUAACUACGUGCCAGCAGCCGCGGUAA